AAAUCGAUCCCGAGAAGCUUGCUAGAGUUCGCCAUUUUGACAUUCGCUCAGAGGAGCGUAGUGUUAGUGAAAUUAUCGUAAAAUUCUGUCGCCAUCCGUCCCUUUACCUCUAUUAUUAGGAUAGGAUUAAUUUUUCAGUCAUCCGUCAUUGGAACGAGCCCAGCUUAGCGGUUCGUUCCACAGGUUCCUCAGCAUCUAAAUGAGCGCCUGUGAUCAGCAUGUCAGCAUCGUCCGGGUCACAAGCAAAGGGGGAGAAAUCAAAGAAGUUUCAAUCGCUGAACAUAAAUAAUAUAUUUAAGGGUAAGUCUAUUGAAACAAACCAGAAGACUGUAAUUCAGAAACAUGGCAUGCAAAGCCUGGUAAAGUGCGUCUGUUACGGCAGCAUGCCCCCCCUGCAAACUUACCUAGCUUGAAAGCAGAGAACAGCGGCAACGACCCUAACGUGAAUUUGGUACCAGCCGGUGGACAAGGAUGGGGAAGCAAGGCGGAGGAGACAACCCCCGAUGGGGCCUCAACCCCACAGGAGGGAACACCAACUCCAACACCACCUCUCGAAAUCACUCCCAAGGUAAGACUGAAGUCCAGAUUAA